rnacentral:rRNA from 1 species
GACGAACGCUGGCGGCGUGCUUAACACAUGCAAGUCGAACGGAAAGGCCCUGCUUUUGUGGGGUGCUCGAGUGGCGAACGGGUGAGUAACACGUGAGUAACCUGCCCUUGACUUUGGGAUAACUUCAGGAAACUGGGGCUAAUACCGGAUAGGAGCUCCUGCUGCAUGGUGGGGGUUGGAAAGUUUCGGCGGUUGGGGAUGGACUCGCGGCUUAUCAGCUUGUUGGUGGGGUAGUGGCUUACCAAGGCUUUGACGGGUAGCCGGCCUGAGAGGGUGACCGGCCACAUUGGGACUGAGAUACGGCCCAGACUACUACGGGAGGCAGCAGUGGGGAAUAUUGCACAACGGGCGAAAGCCUGACGGAGCAACGCCGCGUGAGUGAUGAAGGUCUUCGGAUCGUAAAACUCUGUUAUUAGGGAAGAACAUAUGUGUAAGUAACUGUGCACAUCUUGACGGUACCUAAUCAGAAAGCCACGGCUAACUACGUG